AUAGAGGCCUACCAUGGUGGUAACGGGUAACGGGGUGUUAGGGCACGACACCGGAGAGGGAGCCUGAGAAACGGCUACCACAUCCAAGGAUGGCAGCAGGCGCGCAAAUUACCCAAUCCCGACACGGGGAGGUAGUGACAAUAAAUAACAAUACGGGGUUCUUUAGGAUCUCGUAAUUGGAAUGAGUACAAUUUAAAUCUCUUAACGAGGAACAAUUGGAGGGCAAGUCUGGUGCCAGCAGCCGCGGUAAUUCCAGCUCCAAUAGCGUAUAUUAAAGUUGUUGCAGUUAAAAAGCUCGUAGUUGAAUUUCGGGGUUAGUAGGUUGGUCAUGCCUCUGGUAUGUACUGGUCUCACUGAUUCCUCCUUCCUUAUGAACCGUAAUGCCAUUAAUUUGGUGUUGCGGGGAAUUUGGACUGUUACUUUGAAAAAAGUAGAGUGUUUAAAGCAAGCUAACGCUUGAAUACAUUAGCAUGGAAUAAUGAAAUAGGACGUUCGAUCUUAUUUUGUUGGUUUCUAGGAUUGACGUAAUGAUUAAUAGGGAUAGUUGGGGGCAUUAGUAUUCAAUUGUCAGAGGUGAAAUUCUUGGAUUUAUUGAAGACUAACUACUGCGAAAGCAUUUGCCAAGGAUGUUUUCAUUAAUCAAGAACGAAAGUUAGGGGAUCGAAGACGAUCAGAUACCGUCGUAGUCUUAACCAUAAACUAUGCCGACUAGGGAUCGGAUGA
rnacentral:rRNA from 1 species